GGAAUAGCUCAGUUGGUAGAGCAGAGGACUGAAAAUCCUCGUGUCAC
rnacentral:tRNA from 1 species